rnacentral:rRNA from 1 species
AAAUUGAAGAGUUUGAUCAUGGCUCAGAUUGAACGCUGGCGGCAGGCCUAACACAUGCAAGUCGAGCGGUAGCACAGAGAGCUUGCUCUCGGGUGACGAGCGGCGGACGGGUGAGUAAUGUCUGGGAAACUGCCUGAUGGAGGGGGAUAACUACUGGAAACGGUAGCUAAUACCGCAUAACGUCGCAAGACCAAAGUGGGGGACCUUCGGGCCUCAUGCCAUCAGAUGUGCCCAGAUGGGAUUAGCUAGUAGGUGGGGUAACGGCUCACCUAGGCGACGAUCCCUAGCUGGUCUGAGAGGAUGACCAGCCACACUGGAACUGAGACACGGUCCAGACUCCUACGGGAGGCAGCAGUGGGGAAUAUUGCACAAUGGGCGCAAGCCUGAUGCAGCCAUGCCGCGUGUGUGAAGAAGGCCUUCGGGUUGUAAAGCACUUUCAGCGGGGAGGAAGGCGUUAAGGUUAAUAACCUUGGCGAUUGACGUUACCCGCAGAAGAAGCACCGGCUAACUCCGUGCCAGCAGCCGCGGUAAUACGGAGGGUGCAAGCGUUAA